GCGCACACACACACACACACACACACACACACACACACACACACACAAACAGGUACACAUGAUACGCGCGCACACACACACGCACACAACUACACAAACAGGUACACGUGACGCGCGUGCACACACACUCACACACACACACACACACACACACACACACACACACACACACACACACACCUACACAAACAGGUACACGUGACACGUACGUAUACACACACACAGGUACACGUGAACUGCGCGCACACACACAACUACACAAACAGGUACACGUGAACCACAUGCGCACACACACACACACAUAACUACACAAACCGGUACACGUGACACACGAGCCACACACACGCACAAAACUACAAACAGGUACACGUGACGCACGCAUAUACACACGCAUACACAAAACAGGUACAUGCGACUCAUACAAGACCUGUGUGGCAAUUCACUCCUCAUGAGUCCAUUUAAGCAUCUGUUAAGUCGCUAAUCCAAUGAAGUUAAUAAUAAUUUAAUUCAGUGCCAUUUAAUCAGUCCAGAUGUUACAGCAGCAGCUGGAUUUACAGCCGUUUCCUAAAAGAACAGCUGUAUAGUGUGUAAUUAACACUUUUAUCUUUUGCAUGUUCUAAGCCCGAACCUGGUGU
ensembl:lncRNA